rnacentral:rRNA from 1 species
UACGGGGGGAGCAAGCGUUGUCCGGAGUUACUGGGCGUAAAGAGCGCGUAGGCGGACCCUUAAGUGAGGGGUGAAAGGUUCGGGCUCAACCCGGAGAGUGCCUUUCAUACUGGGGGUCUUGAGUGCGGGAGAGGCAAGUGGAAUGGUCGGUGUAGCGGUGAAAUGCGCAGAUAUCGGGAAGAACACCCGUGGCUAAGGCGGCUCUCUAGUACGGUACUGACGCUGAGACGCGAAAGCGUGGGGAGCGAACAGG